UCGAGAAUCAUUCACAAUGGGGGAAACCCUGAUGGUGCGACGCCGCGUGGGGGAAUGAAGGUCUUCGGAUUGUAAACCCCUGUCAUGUGGGAGCAAAUUAAAAAGAUAGUACCACAAGAGGAAGAGACGGCUAACUCUGUGCCAGCAGCCGCGGUAAUACAGAGGUCUCAAGCGUUGUUCGGAAUCACUGGGCGUAAAGCGUGCGUAGGCGGUUUCGUAAGUCGUGUGUGAAAGGCGGGGGCUCAACCCCCGGACUGCACAUGAUACUGCGAGACUAGAGUAAUGGAGGGGGAACCGGAAUUCUCGGUGUAGCAGUGAAAUGCGUAGAUAUCGAGAGGAACACUCGUGGCGAAGGCGGGUUCCUGGACAGUAACUGACGCUGAGGCACGAAGGCCAGGGGAGCGAAAGGG
rnacentral:rRNA from 1 species